AUCCCCCUUGGGAACGCGUGUUCCGCCCGCGGACCUGGCUUCCGCGGGCAGCUGACGCGAAUCUUGUCUUCUCAGGACCCGCGGGGGCUUUGGCUUCUGGAACACAUGGGGCUGAGUCCAUGCUGACAGCGCGGGGGCUUCGGGACAACACAGGGUCGAGUCCACGCUAAUGGGAGCCAAGUCUCCUCAGGAGUUGCUGAGGCUUCGGCUUUGGGACGUUGUGGAGUCCAGUUCACGCUGACGGGAGCCCCGUCUCCUCAGGACCGGCGGGGCGGUGAUGCGGCUGACGGAAAAGAAAGAUAUCAAGAAACCAUGAACAACUUUAGUAAUGAAGAGUUUGACUGCCAUUUCUUGGAUGAAGGCUUUACUGCCAAGGACAUCCGGGACCAAAAAAUGAAGUUUCUUCUUUUGACGGUUGCUGUUUCAGCAUUUCAAGGUCCUAUAGCCUGUUGGUGUUGUGGGAAGAGGUGAAGGAGCUGUGCUGACGGCACUGAGGCAUAUUUUCAAGAUCCCAAUGUGAUUCCUCAACAUCAUAUCGAUGAGAAAACGACCCAGAGCAGGAGGAAGGAGAGGAGGAAAUGGCAGCUUCUCAGGUAACUGUCCUGUCCUGGGUCAGAGGCUCUGUCUGCUUUUCCUUCUGAAAUGUCAUGGAUUAAGAACCUACAAAUCUUUAACUCUCUACUUCUUAUGUGCCUAGCAAGGUCAUUUUCAACUACUUACUUUUUUCCUUCUUGUGAUAGUCAAAGUCAGCACUUUAGAAUACUUCUACCCUGCGUUCCAGAGCCCUUACCCCACUGUCUGCAUCCAGGCUCCCUACAGAGCAUGGAGAAUGACAUCCAACUAUUGAAAUGAUUCCCUUUGUGGAAGAUCUACAUGGGAAGGCAUUAAUAUCCAAAAUUCCCUAAGAGAUAAUUUUGGAUGAUGAGCUAUUAGUGAAGAAGGGGGGCUUCCCUGGUGGCGCAGUGGUUGAGAGUCCGCCUGCUGAUGCAGGGGACACGGCUUCGUGCCCCGUUCCGGGAGGAUCCCACAUGCCGCGGAGCGGCUGGGCCCGUGAGC